rnacentral:rRNA from 1 species
GGUUUAAUUCGAUGAUACGCGAGGAACCUUACCCGGGCUUGAACUGCCAGUGACUCAUGCAGAGACGCAUGUUUCUUCGGACACUGGCGGAGGUGCUGCAUGGUUGUCGUCAGCUCGUGCCGUGAGGUGUCGGCUUAAGUGCCAUAACGAGCGCAACCCUUCUCCCUGUUUGCCAUCGGGUAAUGCCGGGCACUCCAGGGACACUGCCAUCGUAAGAUGUGA